UGUGAGCCGCUGUGCCCAGGCCAAUCCCAGAGAUUUUGAAGAUGAUUUCUCGAUACGAGUUUCACGAAGACUUGAAAAGAAUGUGUCCUCUGUUGUUGGAUGGAGUGUCCUUGAAAUGUUCAUUAGCCUUCUAGCUCCAUUCAGAAGAGCCUCCGAAGUAGAGACCAGAAAUCCUUCUAGUGGGCUGUGCUUUGAGCAGUACUGCUUGUUGACUGCUUUACUUGGAAGGAGAGAUCGACUGAGGUAAGGCUCUUACUAAUGCACGUGCUUUGCUAAUGGUUUGGCCAGAUGAUCAAAAAUGUGGAAGGGGUAAGAUUCAAGGAUUGGUGACAAGGAAGUUUAGAAUAACAGAGAUGUGGAUGGGCCUCCUAGAAUGACCAAAGAAUAUGAGAAUAUUUAUGUUUCAUGUGAACAUUCAUCAAGCUCCUAUUGGUAGUCAGGUAGACAGGUAGACAAGGUGGUCUACUUUGAGGAUGCUGAUUAAUCUCUUCCUCCAGUGACGCAGGGUUUGCUCAGUGGGCUCAUGGACAGAGUGGCCCUGAUGGCUCAGUGGAGGGCUUGGUAUAGGCUUAGCCACAUGGACUCACCAAGACUAACCUGGUUACAGCCGUUGUUGAAUGCCCAACAUUCUACAGCAGAAACCAACCCUGAGCUCCUGACUUGGUGCCAUACCGUGGGGGGACCAACCUGCUGCUUCAGGCCCGGGAAAGAAGUGGACAAGACUCUGCUCUCUUCAUGGAACCGAGUAUUCUAAGGACACAGCCAAGUCAGGAGACUACACCCCUAGUAUAAUAAGUCCUGUGGCUGUACUGAGAAGAGGUCCUGACUCAGAACUGGAGGACAUCAUGGAAGGCUUCCUGGAGGAAGUGCCAUCUAGGCUGAAACCUAAAGGAUGAGUAGAACUAACCAGAUGAAAAGCACUGGAUUUGACUCAUCCCUGCAUCCCCCGAGCACCUCGUGGGUGCCGUAAAGGCAGCUGGGUUGAUGAUGACUGAGUGAAGGAGCGCCUGAGUGGAUGAGCCACUGAGUGAAUGAACUGGAGUUCAUCUUCCACGUGGUCCUCAGCAUCCACUCUAGAAGCCAAAGCCAAGGACACAGCAACCCACCGAGUGCCUUGUCCUCACUCUCUCCAACUGGGGAGUGCCCCUGCGGUGUCAUCUCUCUUUACAGAAGAGAUGCCAUGAGCUACUUUCCUUUCCCCACCUCACCUAACUUCUCUGCUGUAGCCUAACAGUCCAGGACCUGGGGAUUCAGCCUGAGGGAUCUAAAGCCUUGGGACUUCUGGAUCUGCAAGUGGUCCCUGUUUUGGUAGCUAUUGACUGACGAGGGGCUCUUCGGUAAGUUCUGGGGUGGCAGUGGAGGUGAUGAUGGGAGGGUGUUACAGGGCUCCACAGGCUCUUACAGGGCUCGGGAGCUUAUUUAAGGGAACACCUUGAUUGUCCAUGUGUCGUGGGCCAGAGAAGAAAGGCAGCACUGUGGAUCUUCUGGGAGGAAAGGAGAGGCGUCGAUUUCUGACUCCAGUUUUCUAUGAUCAGCACAGACUCUGUCCCACCUCCUCCCUACAGAGCUUCUGGAUCCUGGAGGAUGGAGAAUAGGCUAAAUUGCACAGGCCAGCUCCAGUCCAUUGGCAGGGCUGCCUAGAACAUGGCUGUGAUGAUCCCAAAGCUCAAUAGCAGAGAACCCUGUGGGGUGCUAGGAGUGUCUGCCAGGGUGCCGCAGGGAAAGGGGAGCAUGUGUGUAGAUGUAGAAAGCAUCUCUGCCAUCCCCUCCCCUAAAGAAUAUAUAACAUGGCCAUGCAGAAAAACACUUGUGAAAGGAGCUGCUGCCCUCAGGACAGCGUGUCAUUGAAAUGGGGGCUGAGCAACCCGUCAGAAGAGUGGGGAGGAGGGACCAUCCUCCAGCCCCUUCCCAGCUCUCUUCUGGAGCCAUAAGCCACAACACUGUCUAUGAAAAAGCUGAGGCCUAGAGCAGAAGGAGUGCAAAAUCCCAGCUACUGCAGGCCUACGCCCAGUGGUUCUCAAAGUGUUGUCCUCAGUCUAGCAGCAUCAGUGUCACCUGAAAACUGGUUAGACAUCCAGGUUCUCAGUUGUUAUCCAGCUCUAGCAGAUGGGAAACGCUGGGGGCGGGACCAGCCAUCUGUGUUUAACAAGCCCCACAGGUGACUGCUGUAGCCUUGAGUGAGGACCUCGGCCAAAAAGAAGGCUCCUACCGUGGCUGUUUGCUGAUGGUCUUCGCAGAGCCUGCUGUCUUUGAGCUUCCUGAGAGAGGGACACUACCCUCGCUUAGCCUGGCAGUGUUGCCCAGGAGGAGGCAGUGGAGUUAAGAAGCCUGGGUCUGAGCUCCUCAGCUGUGCAGACAACUCCUACUUGUUCUUCAACGCUCAACUUUAAGUUCAGUCACCACCUGCAGAAGUCUUCUCCAAAACCUCCCCACCUGGCUGACUAAGGGGCUGGCUUUAUGCUCUUGCAGUACUCAUGCUUCCUACUGUCACAGUUCUGACCACACCGUGGGAAAACGUCUCUAACUAGAGACCUGUCUUGCCUCUUGUGCCUGUAGUACGGGAUGGGUGCCCAGUGUGUGUUGAUUGUAUGAAUCAAUCUCUGUGACUCCAGAGUUCCUUUCUUCAGGAGAUUAGACAUCACCCCUGCAAUCAACAAUGCAAGCCACUGCUGUUUCCUCCAUCCUGAGCAUGAGGAACCUAUCCAGUUUCUCUCUCAGAUGCCAGGGCCAUGAGGCAAGUCCAGCCUUGGCCUAGAACCAAAGAUGGAAACAAAAAGGGGCCAGACUGUGUUGCCUUCUUGAGCCUGGUCUGACUCCUGAGUGGAAGUCUGAUUCCAGGUACAUGAGAUAAGCACUAAUACCUCCAGUUUGCAGAUUAAGAGACUGAGGUCCUGAAGAGGUUAAAGAACUUGGCUCAAGUCACAUAGCUGGUGAGCAGCAAGAUACAAGAAUCAACCCAAGUCCAGGGGGCUGUGUGCCGUUUACACUUCACAUCUGUGCUGCCAGGGCUGUAGCUAUAAAAGCUUGAAAACCAUUACUCUGAGAAUCUCUCUGUUGGGAAAAUGAGUCCCUUCAACUCUAGUUGUUGCCACUGGGAUGCUAACAGAAAGCAAAGUCUCAGAGGAAAGAUGUGGCAUUCCUGAGUGUCUUCCAUGUACCAGGACUUCUAUUUGCUAGCCACUUUAUGUUCCUCAUCCCAUCCUUCUGUGAGGGACAUACUUUUCAGAUGAGAAACGUAAGCUCCGCGAAGCUAAGGGGCCGGACUGAGGUCCCACAGCGAGAGUGUGGAGGAGCCAGGAUCCGAACCCCAUCGCCAGCCCUUGCCAGUUCCAUGAUUCCGGUGCCAGCGCUCGCCUGACCUCCAGGGCUGUCAUGGUGGGAAGGGACUGGAGGGCAUCUGCUGGGCAAAGGAAAGAGACAAACAUCAUCCCAGAGCCUGUCUUCCCUGGGCAAUACCCGGGCCACUCCAGACAUGGCGUCUUUAGCCCUUCCUUGGUCACUGGCCCCCAGGUGAAGAGAGCAUUUUUCUCUGACUCAAGUUCUUGCCUCUGGAUUUGCCAAGCUCCUAUGACAGUCUUCGCCCUUCUGAAGCUCUCUCAGGCUCCCCUUCCAGAAAUCCCGCAGGUUCCACCGACCUCUCUGAGAGCACAGGCGAGUGGUUGAACGGUGGGCUUUAGAGACGGCGCGGCACCAGAGUCCUGUACUGGCUGUGUGAUCCUGAACCUCCUCACUGAGAUUCUCAUCUGCAAGAUGGAGA
rnacentral:lncRNA from 1 species